GAUGAAGAACGCAGCGAAAUGCGAUACGCAAUGUGAAUUGCAGAAUUCAGUGAAUCAUCGAGUCUUUGAACGCACAUUGCGCCCCCUGGUAUUCCGGGGGGCAUGCCUGUCCGAGCGUCAUUGCUGCCCUCAAGCACGGCUUGUGUGUUGGGCCUCCGUCCUCCUCCCGGGGGACGGGCCCGAAAGGCAGCGGCGGCACCGCGUCCGGUCCUCGAGCGUAUGGGGCUUCGUCACCCGCUCUUGUAGGCCCGGCCGGCGCUUGCCGACACAUCAAUCUUUUUUCCAGGUUGACCUCGGAUCAGGUAGGGAUACCUGCUGAACUUAAGCAUAUCAAUAAGCGGAGGA
rnacentral:misc_RNA from 1 species